UACGGAGGGUGCGAGCGUUGUUCGGAAUUACUGGGCGUAAAGCGCGUGCAGGCGGCCGACUAAGUCAGGUGUGAAAGCCCGGGGCUCACCUCCGGAAGUGCGCGUGAAACUGGUCGGCUAGAGUACGGGAGAGGGAAGCGGAAUUCCUGGUGUAGCGGUGAAAUGCGUAGAUAUCAGGAGGAACACCGGCGGCGAAGGCGGCUGCCUGGACCGAUACUGACGCUGAGACGCGAAAGCGUGGGGAGCAAACAGG
rnacentral:rRNA from 1 species